GACCGCUCCAGUGGCCCAGUGGUUAUUGCGUCCGCCUAGAAUGCGGGAGGUCGCGGGUUCGACCCCCUCCUGAGUCA